CCCAACCGAAGGAGGUCGCCUGUCCCUUGUUUCCUAUAUAAAGGGGAUCACAUAGAUUAAUAGAAGCUUGAUUCUAGUAAUAACUGGCAAUUGGACAAUUUCGUGCUGACACUGACACAUGUACCUAAAAAUCGUCAUAACCUUUUUCUGAGUACUAGAUAAUACAAACCUUGUCCUGUCCCUCGCCGUUUUCUGACGAUUCAAGAUCCAUUUCAGU